CUCAGCUGGCAGCCUGUGUGGGGUGACCGCCCCGCUAGCGGGGUGCGGGUCCAGGUGCCCCCGGACUGGGAGAGAAGGAGCCUCCCGCGGCCGCUAGGGAUGGGGGCUGCCCUGUAAGGCAGGGAGCGACAGUGCCCCGCAGUCCCAGGCCCUUUGCAAUGGAGGCAGUGGCCGGGGGUCCCCUGUAAGCAGGGAAGCUGACUCUUUGGCCGCUGCUGUGUGUGUGCCCAGCUGCAUUUGCCCAGCCUGCCCGCCUCUGUGAUCCCCCGCAGCACCGGCUGGAAGCGCGCCGUGCGUCAGUGAGGAGCCGCUGCGGAAGAGAGAAGGAGAAGCGGCGUGGGAACGCGGGAGGCAGGAGCGAGCGCGCAAGCAAGCAAGCAAGCAAGCAAGAAGAGGAUGCGGAAGCGUGCAGACGCGGGGGGGAAGGAGAGAGGCUCCCUGGGCAAAGCACCCGUCCCGUUAGCGGGGCGGCAGUCACAUUUAGUCCCAUUUGAGUUUGAGCGUUGCCGGCGCCUUGGCCGGCUUUGUGCUGGGCGACCUCCCUGUAAGCAGGGCUCGGGUCUUUGCUUUUGCUGUAGUUGGCCUUUUGCCUUGCUGCUCCUUUGGCUGCCUGGGGAGCGUGGGCCCCUGUAACGCAGGGCGAGAGCCACCUCUCCGCACCUGAGUGGGAAACGGAGCUCGCCGGACCCCGAGGCCACCCUGUAAGCAGGGUAGUGCCGUUUCCCCGCCCCUCUUCCU